rnacentral:rRNA from 1 species
AGAGUUUGAUCCUGGCUCAGGACGAACGCUGGCGGCGUGCCUAAUACAUGCAAGUAGAACGCACAGUUUAUACCGUAGCUUGCUACACCAUAGACUGUGAGUUGCGAACGGGUGAGUAACGCGUAGGUAACCUGCCUAUUAGAGGGGGAUAACUAUUGGAAACGAUAGCUAAUACCGCAUAACAGUAUGUAACACAUGUUAGAUGCUUGAAAGAUGCAAUUGCAUCGCUAGUAGAUGGACCUGCGUUGUAUUAGCUAGUAGGUAGGGUAAAGGCCUACCUAGGCAACGAUACAUAGCCGACCUGAGAGGGUGAUCGGCCACACUGGGACUGAGACACGGCCCAGACUCCUACGGGAGGCAGCAGUAGGGAAUCUUCGGCAAUGGGGGGAACCCUGACCGAGCAACGCCGCGUGAGUGAAGAAGGUUUUCGGAUCGUAAAGCUCUGUUGUUAAGGAAGAACGAGUGUGAGAAUGGAAAGUUCAUACUGUGACGGUACUUAACCAGAAAGGGACGGCUAACUACGUGCCAGCAGCCGCGGUAAUACGUAGGUCCCGAGCGUUGUCCGGAUUUAUUGGGCGUAAAGCGAGCGCAGGCGGUUAGAAAAGUCUGAAGUGAAAGGCAGUGGCUCAACCAUUGUAGGCUUUGGAAACUGUUUAACUUGAGUGCAGAAGGGGAGAGUGGAAUUCCAUGUGUAGCGGUGAAAUGCGUAGAUAUAUGGAGGAACACCGGUGGCGAAAGCGGCUCUCUGGUCUGUAACUGACGCUGAGGCUCGAAAGCGUGGGGAGCGAACAAGAUUAGAUACCCUGGUAGUCCCCGCCGUAAA